rnacentral:rRNA from 1 species
CAGCCGCCACGGGAAUACGAGGGGGGCAAGCGUUGUUCGGAAUUAUUGGGCGUAAAGGGUGCGUAGGCGGUUCAGCAAGUCUCGUGUGAAAUCUUCGGGCUCAACCCGAAGUCUGCACGGGAAACUACUGGGCUUGAGUAAUGGAGAGGUGAGUGGAAUUUCCGGUGUAGCGGUGAAAUGCGUAGAUAUCGGAAGGAACACCUGUGGCGAAAGCGGCUCACUGGACAUUUACUGACGCUGAUGCACGAAAGCUAGGGGAGCAAACAGGAUUAGAUACCCGUGUAAUCCCUGUCUCUUAUAC